rnacentral:rRNA from 1 species
AAUAGAUAAGCUUAUUAAGGGCGUAUGGGGGAUGCCUAGGCUCUCAGAGGCGACGAAGGACGUGACAAGCUGCGAUAAGCUGCGGGGAUUAGCACAUAUGAGUUGAUCCGCAGAUUUCCGAAUGGGGCAACCCACUAUACUGAAGGUAUAGUAUUCUGGCUGUAAUGGUCAGAAAGCGAACCCGGUGAACUGAAACAUCUAAUUAGCCGGAGGAAGAGAAAACAAUAGUGAUUUUGCUAGUAGCGGCGAGCGAACGUGAAACAGCCCAAACCAGUACUGUUACGGCAGUGCUGGGGUAGUAGGACUACGAUAUCUUGAUACAUUUUGAACCCAAAUAUUUUGGAAAGAAUACCCAUAGAAGGUGACAGGCCUGUAGGGGUAAGGGAUGUAUCGAGUAGUAGUAUCCUGAGUAGUGCGGGGCACGAGAAACCUUGCAUGAAUCAGCCGGGACCAUCCGGUAAGGCUAAAUACUACUGAGAGACCGAUAGUGAACCAGUACCGUGAGGGAAAGGUGAAAAGAACCUUGAAUAAAGGAGUGAAAUAGACCCUGAAACCAUACGCUUACAAGCGGUCGGAGUCCCGUUUACGGGAUGACGGCGUGCCUUUUGCAUAAUGAGCCUACGAGUUACCACCGUUAGCAAGGAUAAAUAAUUCAGUUAUGGAUCCGUAGCGAAAGCGAGUCUGAAUAGGGCGAAUAAGUUAGCUGUGGUAGACGCGAAACCGUGUGAUCUACCCUUGGGCAGGUUGAAGCUGUGGUAACACAUAGUGGAGGACCGAACCCGUUGACGUUGAAAAGUCUUGGGAUGACCUGAGGGUAGGGGUGAAAGGCCAAUCAAACUCGGAAAUAGCUCGUACUCCCCGAAAUGCAUUUAGGUGCAGCGAUUAAAUAGUUUUAUAGAGGUAGAGCUACUGAUUGGAUGCGGGGGCUUCACCGCCUACCAAUUCCUGACAAACUCCGAAUGCUAUAAAAUGUUUUUAAUCAGUGAGGGCAUGGGUGCUAAGGUCCAUGUCCGAGAGGGAAAGAACCCAGAGCAUCAGCUAAGGUCCCCAAAUAUAUACUAAGUUGAACAAACGAGGUUGGACUGCUUAGACAGCUAGGAUGUUGGCUUGGAAGCAGCCAUUCAUUUAAAGAGUGCGUAACAGCUCACUAGUCGAGCGGUCCGGCAUGGAUAAUAAUCGGGCAUAAGUAUAUUACCGAAGCUAUGC